rfam:Bradyrhizobium elkanii strain TASWS1015 Contig43, whole genome shotgun sequence.
GCGUAUACAAGGAUAAAGCUUAUAACAGUAGUAAUUGUUGCUAUCAAACGAACAACAUAUAUUCUAUUUUCAGAUAGCAA